rnacentral:lncRNA from 1 species
CAAUCACCAUCCCCAGAAGUGGCAGACAGCUGUGGUGCAUGGCCAGAGCCUGGCAGAGCCGCUGGGAAAGAAGCCAUGGACGGUGGCAGUCCCCCCAGUCCAUCUGGAGCUCACCCGCAGGACCCCCUCAAGGAAUGUUGGGGUGUUCACUGGCAUGCUCAGCAGAGCAGGGCUCAACCUUCCAGAACUAGCCUCUGAGAAGCAGCCAGCUCAAGAGGCAGUUCUGGGACGAACCCUGGGGUUUGGGGAGGGUGGCAUUUCCACUACUAUUUCCUGUGUGCCUUGGGCAAGUCCUCUGGCCCCAGCAGCUUCAAAUGCUGCUGGCAAGGGUGAGGGUCUCUUUCACCCAGCCUUGUCCUUCUGUGGUCCUGGAAAUCCCUUAGGGGAGCUAGUGGUGUCACCUGGCCCCUGAGGCUCAGGAAGCACUCUUUCCAGGCUGUGGAGUGGCGGUACUUUCUUCCCUCAUAGUCCUCAUGGCUGCUUGAAACCAGCUCAGAGGAGCCAUGAGGUGGCUGUGUGGGCUGGAGAGGGUUAGCAAACUAGCUCUGGAAUAGGCUGAGUGAAUCUGGUGCUUAAGCGUUUCAGAGGACAGGAGGGAGGGGCUCCUUGGUGGGCUGACAUAGGUGCAUCUAGAAGCCCCCCACCUUCCUUCCCAUUAUCCGCUGGCUGGUUCUUCUUGCGCAUGUGAGAACAGCACCAGGGGUGCCGGCCUCCCAGAUCUGCCCUUCUGUCUUUCUGUGAGCUGUCUUCUGCUGGAUGUGCAAGCCCUGGGUCGAGUCCCCAUCACUGUGGGGUCUGCAGUGUGAGAGUGGGGUGCCUGAGUCUGGUUUCGCUCAGGUGUCUUCUCAAAUCGGAAACCAUUUACUGUCCAGCUCCCAGUCCAAGUGACACUCUCCCACAAAGCCUACCUUCCCAGUUUCUUCCCAUCAGGUAGUGGAUGAAUGCCACACAGAGAACAGGGCCAGCAAAGGGUCUAAGGACAAGAAAGCUGAAGGGAGGAAGGAGGAACCUACUUACUUAAAAACAUUGCUUUGAAGAGCUGGAGUAUAACUCAGUGGUGGAGCACUUGCCAAGCAUGCACAACACCCUGGGUUUGAUCUUCAGCACUGCAAAAAAUUAGAUUAAAAUAUUUCUUUGAUUGCUGGGCAUGGUGGCGAAUACCUUUAAUCUCAGUGGCUCGGGAGACUAAAGCAGGAGGACCGCAAGUUCAAAGGCAGCCUCAGCAACUUAGUGAGGCUCUAAGCAACUUUGAAAGACCCUGUCUCUUUAAAUUAAAAAAUAAAUAAAAAGGCGGGGGGGCGGGGUGGCUGGAGAUGUGGCUCGAUGGUUAAGCACCCCUGGGUUCAAUCCCUGGUACCAAAAAAAAAAAAUUCCUUUGACUUAAAAAACAAUGUAGGUGGGAAAAUACCAUGACCUUAUGGAAGUGAGGGUGGCAGAGGAUGUCACCAGUCAUCCUGACACAUCACAAGAUUGGGAUUGGGUGCAGAGGCAGCUUUCAACAAGGUAUAUGGGGAC